rnacentral:lncRNA from 1 species
CCCCGUAGCCCCGGGCACACUCGCACAGGUAGCGGAAGGCCCGUUCGUGGCAGGUGGCCCCGUUGUGGCAGGGCGCGUGCUCGCACCUGCUGAUGGGGGCACUGCAGUUCCUGCCCGUGUACCCGGGGGGGCAGGUGCAGGAGUACUCGUUCACGCCGUCCCGGCAGGUGCCCCCGUGGGCACACGGGGAGGAGGCACAGUCGUCCACGUUGUCGUCACAGUGCCUCCCAGAGAAGCCAGCCUGGCAGCGGCAGACGUAAGCGUCGCCGAGGUCCACGCACUGCGCACCUGGGGCACAGACAGGGCGGCAGCUCAUCACCGGGGGCAUCCUGGAGCAUCUGCUGCCCCUGCCACCAGGCCGCACACCAGAGCAGAGGCGGGGGACCAGACAGAGGCCAGCACUGAGGCAGCCCGCGGCACAUGCCAGCCCACGGCAGGGGUGGGCAAGGGGCGGGGUUCUGGUCCAAACCCACAAAUUAUGUAGAAAAUACAGGCUGACACCUCCCGACAUGCGCCGAGCAAAGCGCUUCGCCUGCGCUGCUGAAUUCCUCCUCACAGCAAGCCAGCGGAGGACCCAGUUCACAGAUGAGGAAACCGAGGCUUAAAAGGGUGGUGCACUUGCCGCGGUUUCAGUUAGUGAAGAGCAAGAAUUGAGACAGAAAGAAAGAGAAAAGAAGAAAGGCGGGGGCAGGGAGGGUCUUUGUCUUUCCAGAGCCAAGUCUGACGACCCUGCCUAGUCCCCUCUAAAGAUGAAGCGUCCAGUGCGUGUUGUUCAAUGGCUGGAAACAAGCCGGAGAGAGAGCUCGGCCCCAGCACUGCCUGUGGGGCACACGGAGAGCAGAGCGAGACGGUCCCUCUCUUGCCCACGGUCACGUCCAGUGCAGAAGCGCCUGAGAUGGUCCAGGCUGUCUGGGCCCAGCUUCCCCACCCAUGAGUUUCCGUGGGGCAUCCCUCCCACUCGUGGAGAUCACGCAGCCUCACUAGCCGGCUCUGCCUGGAGACCAAGCGGAGUUGGGCUGGCCCCCAAACAUGCAGCGGCUGGGCUGUCGUGAGGGCGGGCCCAUGGACACUGGGGUCUCGAGCACCUGAGGAGCAGCAGGACUGCCAUCGAGUCACUGCAUCUCCGCCCGAGCAGGUCCUGCAGGGAAGGAACACUCCUGCCUGCCUUUCCAGCCCCCUGGGUGUUUCCAGACUCAAGGGUAAGACUUCUGUGAAGUUUCUCAUCGUUCAGACAAAAGGGCUUCUGAGACUCAAGGCAGCUCACAGUGAUGAACUCAGCUUGAAACUAAACCCACACGCUUCUCAUCAAUGUGGACCCCUGGACAAAGUCUCAGGUGGGUCAGGCAGCCCCCUUACCAUUGGAACAAGGCGAGGAACUGCAGGAAUCCAUCUUCUUCUCACAGUUAAAGCCAGAAAAGCCCCCAGGACAGCGGCAGGUGUACCCGCCCUCGGGGUUGUCGGAGCACCGGCCCCCAUUGAAGCAGGGGCCGUCGGCACACACCAUGGCACUCAGCUCGCAGACCCUGCCGUAGAAGCCAGGCGGGCAGGUGCAGGAGUAGCUGUUCUCAAGGUCCGUGCAGGUGGCGCCGUUCCUGCAGGGCUUGUGGUGCGUGCAGUAGUUGAGGUCUGCGAGGGAGGAGGCGGGGAGAGGGGAGAAGUGGGAGGGGGGUUCAGAGGCGGGCAGGCUGCGGGGGCGGAUGCUUACCCUGGUUGCAGAAGAGGCCCCCCCAGCCCUCCUGGCAGUUGCAUUGCCAGGGCUGCUGGCAGGGGGCGCGGGGACAGCCUGGGGACCGGGGGGACCGGGCGCCGAGACGGGCCCUCACNNNNNNNNNNNNNNNNNNNNNNNNNNNNNNNNNNNNNNNNNNNNNNNNNNNNNNNNNNNNNNNNNNNNNNNNCCCAAAGACAGCUCCUUCCUCCCCAGGAGGGUCUGACUCUGGGCAGGGGGGUCAACCAGGGCAGCAUCUCUAGGUGAUUCCAACCUACUAAAUACUCUCCUUUUCUCCGCUGAUUCUUUUAAAUAUCAUCUGCAAGCUCCACAGCCACUGAGUAGCUUAGGUGAAUGACUGCCGCUGCUGCUGCUGCUGCUGAGUCGCGUCAGUCGUGUCCGACUCUGUGUGACCCCAGAGACGGCAGCCCACCCGGCUCCCCCGUCCCUGGGAUUCUCCAGGCAAGAACACUGGAGUGGGCUGCCAUUUCCUUCUCCAAUGCAUGAAAAUGAAAAGUGAAAGUGAAGUCGCUCAGUCGUGUCCGACUCUUAGCGACCCCAUGGACUGCAGCCCACCAGGCUCCUCCAUCCCUGGGAUUUUCCAGGCAAGAGCACUGGAGUGGGGGGCCAUUGCCUUCUCCGUAGGUGAAUGACUACCUUGAUCCAAAAACUGUCCAGGUAUGUAUUAAGUAGAAACACCAGAAAAACAGCUCCCCCACCCCGCAAACAGCUAAUCUCACCUAAGUUUUUCAAAGGAUCAUCUAGAGACACGUUGCUAAUACACUAGCUGUAAAAGGACAACAAGAAAAAGAGAGAAAAAUGCAACUUUUGCAAACUUACUUGCAUUCCCCUGGCUUGUCACAAAAUCCGUGCUGCUCAUCGCACCCUGGCAAACAGAUGGCUGCAGGAGGAAAAGGCACAGGGUCAAGCCCACCAGAGAGCUUCCAGCAUGAGGGGGCUACGAGCUGUGCCCAGCGAGCCUGGCAUCGGACUUUACUCAGCGAGAGGAGCAUUCUUCUUAACACCGCAGCUCAAGGACAAAAGAGCUCGGAAGCCCCCACCCCCACAGGCCCCUUUUCUUCUAAGAGAGGGUCAGAAGUCCUUCCCCCUCCUCCUCCCCCACUUCCCAAUUCUAUGCACAAAGCUCCACCUCUUAAUACCCAGAAAGUGUGUGUGUAGAUAAGGGUGGACAGCUGGUAUGCAGAGUACCAGGGCAAGACAGCUGCUCUAUUGUCUGUCCUCUCCCAGCAGCUGCCCCAGUGCAACAAUACCAGCCUCCCCUCACACCCCAUGCCCCACCCCUCACACACACCCCUAGCAUGCACACACACACACACACACGCGCGCGCACACACACACACACACACACACACACACGCACGCACGUGCACCCUUCCGCCAAUGGGAACAGGCGUGCGUCCCAGCCGCCUAUCCCCGGGGAGAUCUAAUCGAUGGCACGCGCGAGCUGGGGGCAGGGAGAGACUCCAGUGUUUGAAUAAGAAGAAAAAAGUUUAAGUUUAUGGCUACCCCACGGGGAAGGAGAGGGCGGGUAGCCAGGAGGGAGGCAGCAGGCAAGCCUGAGGUCCCAGAGAGGGGGGAGCCUGGUGGCUGAGGCUCCGGGCUGGCUUCCUUCUCCUGGAGUGGAGACUCAUUAACGAGCUGCCCCACAAGUUUUCAGGACAACAGAGCCAGCUAGGGCCAAGGCGAGCUCAAAGGAGCCGAAAGCUGAGCGGGCUGAGCAACCGUGACGCUGGAGACAGGAUCAAAUCAGAACUGAGAAAGUGCACCUCCCAGCGAGAGGUUCUACCCUACAGGAGAAGGUUCCUGGGCUCUGGGCAGGAGGAAGACGCCCUGGGGUUUCUGGGGGGCUCCCCACCCGGCUCUGGGGAGACCUGGAGUUGGGGGGCAGUGAGGCACCUGGGGUCCAGCUGAACUAGGCCCAGGAGUCCCGUGGCCUGCGCCUGUGAAAACACAGAGCUGUGGGCAGGCCGGGCCGGAGUCCCUUCCCAGGCAGCGUGCUCUGCUAGCACCCACCACAGGGCAAGGGGGCCCCUCCCCAGCAGAGCUAGCAGGCUCACGUCCCCGACAAGGGGACAAGGGGAACCGUCACAAACAGUGGGAUGUUUUUAAAUACACUGGCUCUGCAGAGAGGCCGAGCACACCAACUCUGGAGAGAAUGAAGCACUCGUCAAUGAGACGCUGUCUCGCAAAGAGAACUCCUUUGGUAAAAGCAUGCCCUGCACACAGCCUCCUCUCUGUUCCUCCCUUCCUUCCUCCCUCCCUUCCCUUUGGCUUACUUCCUGACCCCUGGCCCUGUGUCCAAAAUCCUCCCUGAUUAAGAAAGGCAGCUUCCCAUUGCGGAAGUUACAACGUCUGAGUCGACCCCAACCCGCCUCUGGCUGACUGUGAGGUCUCAGCUAAUCUCUCUGGCUCCCUGGCCCAGUUUCCACUACCCCCAGAACAUCUCCUUGGGGCUAAAAUCGCAGGAUCCCAGCAGCCCCGAGAAUAUGCCCCCCUGCUCAGGAGUGCAGGCCUUGGGGAGCAAGCUGAGGGCGGUGGCCUCCCUGCCCGGGACUCACGCUCUGUGCAGUACUGGCCCUUCCAGCCAGGGUUGCAGACUUUCUCCCCUCUCUCCCCGCAGGUGAAGUGGCCAAAGGCGUCAUCUCGGGGGCGGCAGAAGACGGAGCAGCCUUCGCCAAAGUAGUGCUCAUCACACACAAAGCGGUAGGAGUACUUGAGGUCCGUGCGGCCGCUGCUGUGCAGAUCCUGGGACCACUCCUCCCCAACGGCCAGGUGCCUCUGUGUGGCCAGGCGGCUGAUAAGUCUUUCUGGGUUCUCUGCAGAAAGAGAACGCCCCGUUGGUUCUGGCCGAGAAGCCCGAGGCUUGGGGAACUGGUGAGAAGGAAAGGACGCCAGGCAGGGACGCCUAACCCUUCUCCUGGACCUCCCAGAGGAACCGGGAGAAUGGAAGGUGCAGACCUUGCUUCCGGGAGGAUUUGAAGUCAAGUCCGUGCUAACCAGGGAAGCAGUUCACACAGGUUAGGGGCUUGGGGGGAUUGUCUUUACCUGUUGCAAGGUCAUCCGGAGAAUCUGUGUGGAGCGCUUCAAUGAUCAGAGAGAAGGUUCCCUGGAGGAAGAACAGAAGGCAAAACUGUUUACAGAAGAAUCUAAGGGUUCCGGGAAACCCACUGGCUGCAGGUCUGCUCGCGGCGUGUCGUGCGGAGGGUCUGUGAGCCUCGCGAGCCUGAUUCCACUUUCCUUAAGCAUAUGGAACAACUUUCAAGAGUGGCUUCCUGAUAUGUUUCUUCAGUCUGUUAAUACAGGAUAUCGCGUUUGAAGGAAAGAAAGAAGGCCGCGGAGCAGGCUGGAGGGGCUUGUGUGCAGUCUUCUGGGGAAGGAGCCAGGGAGAGGCGCGGGGGGCUGCCAGGCUGCAAGGGCGACUGACAACCGACCGGUCCAGGAGCUGCGGAACUGGGACUCUCCCACUUGAAGGGGUCCUUUCAGCUCCGCGGCUCGGCGCGCAGACCGGACACGGAAGCGUCCCGGGUGCUUGGCCUCUCCGCCGCUCUCAACCGGGGCUGUCACCCCGCGCAACACCCCCUCGCCGCUGCCGCCGGCUGUGAGCCACCCGGGCUUGGAGGCUGCGCCCCAGGGCCCCGCAGAGCGUGGCGCCCGCCGGCCCG